UCUGUGUGAAUGUGUUGUGUGCAAAUAAGAAAAUAAAGAUGGCGGCUGAUGGAAUCCCGGGCACAGAGCCGAACCCGGACCUGAACUCAUGGAGCGGCCCCGAGUUACAGGCCAAACUGACGGAGAUCGGAGCGCCUGUUAUGGGCCCGAGAGAAGAGUUAAUAGACAGACUGAAAUCCUACAUGAUGCAGACCGGUGUGAUGUUGACUAAACCCAGCUUGCCCGGCGGAGAUGACAAGGCCAUGACGACGAUGCCAGGUCUGCCUCCCAUGCUCCCAAUGCCGUCUAUGCCUCUGCCGCCAGGCAUGGGCGUGCUGCAGGCCAUGGGCAUAAUGGGAGGACCACCUCCACCUGGCAUCCGCAUGAGCAUGGAGCCACCGGGCAUCUCCUCUGGCAUGGCACAGGACGACCCGCAGAAGAUCGCUCAGAGGGCCGGUCAGGGCGAUUCCAGAGUGAUGAAGGAGCAGGAGCUUCUAGAGCAACAGAAGAGAGCUGCACAGCUGCUGGAGCACGAGAGGCAGCAGGAGCUGGUUAAGCUGCAGCAGGUGGGACCACCAGGCACCCGGGCCCCAGAAGCAGGACCUGCACCCAACCUGCUGCCCCCUAUUCCUCCACUCAGAGCCUUGAUAACCAGUGGCCCACCCCCUCCAGGCGUUUCCAUGGUACCACAGAGCAGUCAGAGGCAGAGAGUACCACCUCCACCUGGAGAAGAUGCGAGAGAGGCGUGGCAGAGUGAUGAUGUGGGAGUCGGGCCGAAGAUCCCUCAGGCUCUGGAGAAGAUCCUGCAGCUGAAGGAGAUCCGACAGGAGCAGCUCACCGCCGCUCCUACAGAAGAGGAAGAUGAUGACACGGCCGAUGUGGACAUGAACAGCUCUCGUCCGUACUCGGAUGAUGAAGAAGAAAGCACACUCUCUAAAAAAGAGAAAAGCCGCAGACGCAGGAACCGGAAGAAGAAGAGGAGUCAGGAGAAGAAUGAUCAAGUGGAGGCGAGAAAGAAUGAGGCUGAGAAGGACAAAGAGAAAGAUCACGCAGUGGAGAUCGAGUACGUCACCGAGGAGCUGGAGAUCUACGACCCCAACUACAUUUUCUUCAAGAGGAUCUUUGAAGCGUUUAAGUUGACCAAUGAGGUGAAGAAAGAGAAGGAGAAAGAGCCGGAGAAGACUGAGAGGCAGGAAAUCACCUCAUAUAAGAAGAAAUUUUUAGAGGAAAAGAAAGACAGUGACAAGGAAACCAAACAGGAUGUGCCGAAACUCUCCAAGAAGAAGCUGAGGAGGAUGAACAGGUUGACUGUAGCGGAGCUCAAACAGCUGGUGGCUCGUCCAGACGUGGUGGAGAUGCAUGAUGUGACUGCGCAGGAGCCCAAGCUGCUGGUGCACCUGAAGGCCACGAGGAACACUGUACCCGUACCACGCCACUGGUGCUUCAGGAGGAAGUACCUGCAGGGGAAGAGGGGUAUCGAGAAACCACCCUUCGAGCUGCCUGAGUUCAUCAAACGCACCGGGAUCCAGGAGAUGAGAGAAGCCCUGCAGGAGAAGGAGGAUGCAAAAACUAUGAAGACCAAAAUGCGAGAGAAAGUUCGCCCAAAGAUGGGAAAGAUUGACAUCGACUACCAGAAGCUCCAUGACGCCUUCUUCAAGUGGCAGAUCAAGCCGAAGCUCACCAUCCAUGGAGACCUGUACUACGAGGGGAAGGAGUUUGAGACGCGGCUGAAGGAGAAGAAACCUGGAGAUCUGUCUGAUGAGCUGAGGAUCGCUCUGGGCAUGCCCACCGGCCCUAACUCCCAUAAGGUUCCUCCUCCAUGGCUUAUUGCGAUGCAGGGAUACGGUCCUCCCCCGUCCUACCCCAAUCUCAAGAUUCCUGGCCUCAACGCCCCUAUUCCUGAGAGAUCUCGUGGUGUCAGUAUGUGUUGUGAAGUAACUGCCUGUAAGCUGGCUCUAGCUGCAGAACGCUUCACGGUGCCACCUAUCCUGUCACAAGACUGCAUCCCGGUAGCUGUGUGAGGUGAACUGGAGGAUAAUCGCUCAAGGUUUGGAGUCGUCUUUCCAUUGGCUGACCGAGCCGAUGUACUGUGUUGAUAACCUCAGGAAACUUGGCCUGGUACUCAGGUGAAGUGCUUGCUGUGCCAGAAGGAACGAGUGUAGAACAAGAAUAUAUCAUCAGUGCUGAGGCAUUAUAGAGCUUUUCAUGAGAAUCAGCAGCCUGCCAACAGACCAGACACAAGCGACAAUUCCAGAAAAACAAAUGAUAGAUGAGGCCUUGGUUAAUAUGAUAAUUCCAGACACCCAGCCAUUGUCAGUGGUGGAAGAUGUGGGUUUGAUGGAGCUCAUGCACAUACUGGAACCCACUGAUCUUCUCCCUACUAGGAAGAUGUCAGAAUGUAGUGACAGUCAGCCUCACCUCUGAUAUCUGGACAUCCAUGAAUAUGGAGACUUACCUUCCAGUAACCUGCCACUUCAUUGAUGACAAUGGCAGACUUGGAACAAUUUUGCUUGGAGCAGAACAUUUUCCAAGUCGUCACACAGCAGAAAAUAUGGCUCUGGCAAAAGCAAAAUUGAUGGAGGAGUGGGACAUAAAAGAAAAGGUGAAGUGUCUCAUCACUGAUGCUGCACCAAAUAUGAUAAGCUUGUGCCAAGGCAUUGCCUGUGAGACAUUCUGUUUGCAUCACACACACUUAAUUUAAUAGUGCAAAAGUCAUUUGACCAUGUCCCAGCCCUUAAAGGUGGAGUAUGAGAUUUUUUUCAGGAGUAUUUUUUACCAUAUUGCUUGAAAAGCUCCUCACACCCAUGUUGCAAGCAGUACAAUAGGUUUGACCCAAAAACGAAAUAUUUUAAUCCAGUCUACAGUGUAAAAUAAAGGAAAAAUGCCAUCCAAUCAUAUCGAGGUACCACCUCAAAAUGAUUGGAUACUGACACGUCAAUCAGACUGAAGCCCGAGCAGCCCGGCCCUUCUGUGUGUGUGUGAGUGAGAGAGACAGCGAGCAGUGUCACACAGAAAGCACAGGAUUCUCUCAGUGCGCAUCCUCCAAACAACGGGGAUUUACACGAAAACGGAAGGAGAUAUUCACAAAAUUCUUUCACAGUGAGUGCCACAAGGCUUCCCUGAACACACUGAUGUAAUUUUUUUGUCUGUAGUGUAAAAAAUGAGGUCACGAGAGCGAGUUAAAAACGAGUGACUUUUCCGGCAAGUUUUAUAAUGGAAGUCUAUGAGCUGCGUGGCUGUGCUCUCCUCACUUUCAGGCUUCUCAUUCAAAAACUGCAAGUCCUAUCGUGUAGGUAGACACAUUGUGUGAAUCAGGACAAGUGUGGCUACUACUUUUGAGAAAAUUGUGUGUGGAGUGAAAAUUGGGGCUGAAAACACAGUUUAAAUGAGAAAGUUUGAGCUAUUUUUCCAAGCUCUCUACACUCUGCUCUAAGGGGGAGGAGGGGUGGAGACGCGGGGGGGAGCAUGGCGAGGGCGGGCGUGUUUCUUUUCAAAAUAUGGCUUGCAGGAACCGUUAUUCCAAAAUCUCGUACCCCACCUUUAAUGACAUGCAUCCCAAAGCCAGAAAAAUCUUCUCUGUUUUUCUGGACAAGUCCUACAGCAAAAGAGAGACUGUGCCAGGUACAGAAGCAAAUGGGGAGGCAGACUCUGAAUAGAGGUAGAUACACGCUGGAACAGCACUUUCCACAUGCUGGAACUCCUUUAUAAUGAGACAAAACCAGUGGGAGCAGCCCUGGCAUCUUUAAAGACCAACAUCUCCCCAGUUAAUGCUCAUGAACAUGAGGCUGUUGGAGAUACUUUACAUAUUCUGGCUCCAAUCCAUCAGGCUACUGUAGAACUAUCUGAGGAGAAAAGGGUAUUUGCUUCAAAUACCUGUCUACAAUGGAGUCACUUAGUGCGAUGACAACGACAACCAUGCUCGACCCGAGGUUUAAAGCCACUGGGUUCCUAUGCUAAAAUAAGAUGCAUGAAGCAGUAAAGCAACUGACAGUAGAGUGGGCCAAUAGAAUUACAAUUGCUGAAUCUGCUAGAUCGAGUGAGCCCUUAAUCCAGCAGCCAGCCUCCUCUGAAACAGCCGGGAUGCAAACAGCUGUCGUAAGUAUAAAAUGGUUCUGUUGAUUUGUGUUAUUAUUCUGCUAAAGAUAUUUUAAAAUGUAAUGUGAAGUAUUUUAACCACUCGUGUUUAUAUAAAAUUUUCCUUAGUUGUCUUGUAGCAUCUGCUGGACCCCACAGUGAAUCAGAGCAGAAGAAGCUCAACUGCCACUGCUGAUGCAACAAUAGAAGGGGAACGUUACUUGGGCGAGGCCAACCUUCCAAAAAUUGUAGAUCCACUUGUAUAUUGGAGUCCACAAAUACAUGUUUACCCCCACCACUACCAACUGGCACUUCAGUUUUUAUGUUCACUAGCAUCCUCAGUACCAUGUGAAAGUGUGUUCUCCGAGGCUGGGGAGGGAAUUUCUAAGAAAUGAACCGCCUCAAUCCAAAUACAGUAAAACAAUUACUUUUAUUUUUUUUUUAUUUUUUAUUUUUUAAAGGACAUAAUCAAUAAAGGUUCCCCUAAAUAUGACUAUGUAUCCUGCAUGGAGCACUCACAGUCCAUCACACACACAAUAAACACAAACAUUACCCUCUUUGUUUAUGGACACCUUUUUAUUGUGCAGAUACAAUUAUUCUGAGCAUAAAUUCAUACAAAAAGUGUGUGUGAGACAGAGAGAGAAUAAAAAGCAUAGAGACCAAAUAAAAGGCACAUAAAACACUUAUGUAAUAAGUUAUUUUCAAACAGAACAUUGUGUAAAGUCCAUGUAAAUAAUAAUGUGACGUGUCAGAACACUGCUGUGAUGUAGAUAUUGAAACAUGCUGUACACGUCUCUGAGCAGUAGGUAUCGCUAGUGAACUCGAGUGAGAUUUCAAGUCAUGAAUCUUCAUCUGCCACGCCCCUUUAUACUCCAUACACACUUCAGAGCCUCAGUUAGCCAUCACUGAUCACUGUACUGCAAAUCAUUAACAUUUAUUACAGAGAAAAUGGCAAAUAAACUACUGAAUAUUAAAGAUUUAUUAUGGACUUAAAUUUGUUAGAAAUGACCACUAAGUUGUGUGUGGAAUUUUUGUUUUGACAUUGUGUUUUGUUGUCUCAGGAGCCUAAAUAUGAUUUAUGUCUAAUCUUGGCUAAGGAGCUGACUAUCAUACCAGUGGUGUUGGGUUGCUCACGAAGAAUUUAA